GCAGAAGAAGCACCGGCUAACUCCGUGCCAGCAGCCGCGGUAAUACGGGUAGGGUGCGAGCGUUUAAUCGGAAUUACUGGGCGUAAAAGCGCAUGCAGGUGGUUUGUUAAGUCAGAUGUGAAAGCCCGGGGCUCAACCUCGGAAUUGCAUUUGAAACUGGCAAACUAGAGUACUGUAGAGGGGGGUAGGAAUUUCAGGUGUAGCGGUGAAAUGCGUAGAGAUCUGAAGGAAUACCGGUGGCGAAGGCGGCCCCCUGGACAGAUACUGACACUCAGAUGCGAAAGCGUGGGGAGCAAACAGGAUUAGAUACCCUGGUAG
rnacentral:rRNA from 1 species